UGUCUGUAGCUGGUUGAAAUUGGGCCAAAUUAGAAAAAGGUCAAGCAUUUGGUCCCCUUCAACCAGCUGUAGUUG
rnacentral:pre_miRNA from 1 species